ACCUGCAUCUGAAGAUUAAAAGGAAAAACUCAACUAGUGUUGGUGUUUUAGUGUUGCUAGUGAUCAAUGCAUCAGACCUUAUAUCCUGAGUGAGAGCUUAAAAGCAUGAAGAGCGUAAUUUGCAGGUAGAAUUAAGUCCCUGCCCAAAUUGAAUAUUCAUCAGGAAGGAGUGAUCUGCACACAUGAAAUUCUAGGAGAUCAAAAACCUGAUAUUUUUGGCAAAGCAAGCACUUCAGAAGGUUGCAGCCUACAGGGAGGCUGACUGCCUGCCCCUCGGUGCUAGCGGACGAAAAUUAGAAAGGGAAACAGAAGACUCAUGUUUCAUUGCCCAAG